UUUCCGUAGGUGAACCUGCGGAAGGAUCAUUACAGAGUAAGAAGGUCUCCGGACCGAUUACCCGUCCUUUUGUCAUCUGCUGACGGGGUUUUUUUCGGACCCGCCGUCUCACUCUCUUCGGAGGGAGGGAAGGAGGGCGAGGAAGAGCCCCUGAUUACACUUCCCAGGAGGUGUUGCGCCCGCCGGCCUUGCGUCUCUCUCUCGGGGGGACCAAGGCGGGAGGACGUGACCGCCUGGGGUCAUUUUCAAAAACUCUUUGAGAAAUCUGAAGUCUGAAAUUUUAUCUAAAAAGAAGCAAAACUUUCAACAAUGGAUCUCUUGGCUCUGGCAUCGAUGAAGAACGCAGC
rnacentral:misc_RNA from 1 species